rnacentral:rRNA from 1 species
UAGCUUUUUCAUGAUUCGGUGGUUGGUGGUGCAUGGCCGUUCUUAGUUCGUGGAUCGAUUUGUCUGGUUUAUUCCGAUAACGAGCGAGACUCUAGCCUACUAACUAGUGGCGGCAUUGCCGCUGUGCUCGUCACUUCUUAGAGGGAUUGGCUGCGUCCAGCAGCACGAAAUUGAGCAAUAACAGGUCUGUGAUGCCCUUAGAUGUCCGGGGCUGCACGCGCGCUACACUGGCAAAGGCAGCGUGCUUGUCCUUCUCCGAAAGGAGCGGGUAAACCCUUGAAAAUUUGCCGUGAUUGGGAUCGGAAAUUGCAAUUAUUUUCCGUGAACGAGGAAUUCCAAGUAAGUGCGAGUCAUCAGCUCGCGUU